GCUAAAGCAGGGACAGAGACGGAGGAUAUAAGGGGUGUGGAAGUGUUACUAGGUAGCACGUGGCGGAAAGCAAAUUUAGGCAGAUUAAUAAGUAUGAAGUGAAAUGCUAUAGCUUAGCUAAAGAACUGCUUUGAAAACUGUUAAUCGAGAAUGGUGGAGAGUGAGAGGGUAUUUCUGGUGUAGGGGUAAAAACCGUAGAGAUCAGAAGGAAUACCGAUUGCGAAGGCGAUCUACUGGAACAUGAUUGACGCUGAGAUGCGAAAGCGUGGGGAGCAAACAGGAUUAGAUACCCUAGUAGUC
rnacentral:rRNA from 1 species